rnacentral:rRNA from 1 species
UGGGGGAUAUUGGACAAUGGGGGGAACCCUGAUCCAGCGACGCCGCGUGAGUGAAGAAGUAUUUCGGUAUGUAAAGCUCUAUCAGCAGGGAAGAAAGAAAUGACGGUACCUGAGUAAGAAGCCCCGGCUAACUACGUGCCAGCAGCCGCGGUAAUACGUAGGGGGCAAGCGUUAUCCGGAAUUACUGGGUGUAAAGGGAGCGUAGACGGUAAAGCAAGUCUGGAGUGAAAGGCCGGGGCCCAACCCCGGGACUGCUCUGGAAACUGUUAAACUGGAGUGCAGGAGAGGCAGGCGGAAUUCCUAGUGUAGCGGUGAAAUGCGUAGAUAUUAGGAGGAACACCAGUGGCGAAGGCGGCCUGCUGGACUGUAACUGACGUUGAGGCUCGAAAGCGUGGGGAGCAAACAGG